UGGAAAGGCGCGCGAUACAGGGUGACAGCCCCGUACACAAAAAUGCACAUGCUGUGAGCUCGAUGAGUAGGGCGGGACACGUGGUAUCCUGUCUGAAUAUGGGGGGACCAUCCUCCAAGGCUAAAUACUCCUGACUGACCGAUAGUGAACCAGUACCGUGAGGGAAAGGCGAAAAGAACCCCGGCGAGGGGAGUGAAAAAGAACCUGAAACCGUGUACGUACAAGCAGUGGGAGCACGCUUAGGCGUGUGACUGCGUACCUUUUGUAUAAUGGGUCAGCGACUUAUAUUCUGUAGCAAGGUUAACCGAAUAGGGGAGCCGAAGGGAAACCGAGUCUUAACUGGGCGUUAAGUUGCAGGGUAUAGACCCGAAACCCGGUGAUCUAGCCAUGGGCAGGUUGAAGGUUGGGUAACACUAACUGGAGGACCGAACCGACUAAUGUUGAAAAAUUAGCGGAUGACUUGUGGCUGGGGGUGAAAGGCCAAUCAAACCGGGAGAUAGCUGGUUCUCCCCGAAAGCUAUUUAGGUAGCGCCUCGUGAAUUCAUCUCCGGGGGUAGAGCACUGUUUCGGCAAGGGGGUCAUCCCGACUUACCAACCCGAUGCAAACUGCGAAUACCGGAGAAUGUUAUCACGGGAGACACACGGCGGGUGCUAACGUCCGUCGUGAAGAGGGAAACAACCCAGACCGCCAGCUAAGGUCCCAAAGUCAUGGUUAAGUGGGAAACGAUGUGGGAAGGCCCAGACAGCCAGGAUGUUGGCUUAGAAGCAGCCAUCAUUUAAAGAAAGCGUAAUAGCUCACUGGUCGAGUCGGCCUGCGCGGAAGAUGUAACGGGGCUAAACCAUGCACCGAAGCUGCGGCAGCGACACUAUGUGUUGUUGGGUAGGGGAGCGUUCUGUAAGCCUG
rnacentral:rRNA from 1 species